GAUGAACGCUGGCGGCGUGCUUAACACAUGCAAGUCGAACGGAAAGGCCCAAGCUUGCUUGGGUACUCGAGUGGCGAACGGGUGAGUAACACGUGGGUGAUCUGCCCUGCACUUCGGGAUAAGCCUGGGAAACUGGGUCUAAUACCGGAUAGGACGAUGGUUUGGAUGCCAUUGUGGAAAGUUUUUUCGGUGUGGGAUGAGCUCGCGGCCUAUCAGCUUGUUGGUGGGGUAAUGGCCUACCAAGGCGUCGACGGGUAGCCGGCCUGAGAGGGUGUACGGCCACAUUGGGACUGAGAUACGGCCCAGACUCCUACGGGAGGCAGCAGUGGGGAAUAUUGCACAAUGGGCGCAAGCCUGAUGCAGCGACGCCGCGUGGGGGAUGACGGCCUUCGGGUUGUAAACUCCUUUCGCUAGGGACGAAGCGUUUUUGUGACGGUACCUGGAGAAGAAGCACCGGCUAACUACGUGCCAGCCGCCGCCGUAA
rnacentral:rRNA from 1 species